GAAGGGGGCAAGCGUUGCUCGGAAUCACUGGGCGUAAAGGGCGCGUAGGCGGGCGUCUAAGUCAGGGGUGAAAUCCCGAGGCUCAACCUCGGAAUUGCCUUUGAUACUGGAUGUCUCGAGACCGGAAGAGGUGAGUGGAACUGCGAGUGUAGAGGUGAAAUUCGUAGAUAUUCGCAAGAACACCAGUGGCGAAGGCGGCUCACUGGUCCGGUUCUGACGCUGAGGCGCGAAAGCGUGGGGAGCAAACAGGAUUAGAUACCCUGGUAGUCCACGCCGUAAACGAUGGAUGCUAGCCGUUGGCGAGCUUGCUCGUCAGUGGCGCAGCUAACGCUUUAAGCAUCCCGCCUGGGGAGUACGGUCGCAAGAUUAAA
rnacentral:rRNA from 1 species